UGGGUCUGACACAAAUUCUGCUCUCCGAAGUGCCAGGAGAGCGGGAAACUUGUUAUCUGUGACACCCCGCCAACUUAGGAGGGGAAAGCCAGCAGGCAGAGGGGAAGGACAGUGCAACGUCUGCGCGCGAUGGCGGCAACCGACCCCUGGAACAGCCCGGUGCAUAUCUUUUUUAAAGGGGCAAUUCUCCUUGGAGACCGAUACAAACUGAAAAAUCAAAGAUGAAGGGCAUGAGAGUUAAAUACUGAGUUAAAUAUUAGGUACCAGACUGACUGACAGCCCAAGUUACAACCCCAGCUCUUGGAAGUCCGACUGACAACUAAGUUUUAGCUGCUCCCUGCCACGGUCCACUUAAUUAGUCUUGUGGCAAAAUGAAAACAACUUGAUUUUGCAUAUGGAGGUAUAAGAAAAAACACUUUACCAAUCAAAUAAAAUAUAUGUCAUCAUUAAAAA